ensembl:lncRNA novel transcript
AAGUAUGAGCUGGGAGACUGGGCUUACCCAGGUCUCAGGUGACACAGCUGUAAAAUGCUCAGCCUGAUUUAUCCCUUAAAGACUGUUAAAAGGAAUUAAAUGAGACAAUGUGUGGCUCAACACAAUGCCCAAUCAUUUAAAGGCACCCAAAGUAGCCAUUAUUAGAACAGUUACCAUGGCUCUACUAAACUUACUAAAUCUAUAGUCUGUGCCUUCUGGGGCCACACAUAAAUAGAGAAUCGCCUUCUACAGCCUGGGAGUGAAGAAAUCCCACUCGGAGACUCAAUCUGAGAGGCCUUGAAAAGCUGGGAUGGAGGUGACUUUACACUUACCAAUUUAGGGAAAGCCAGUCUUUGAAGAGGGGAGGAAAGAAAGACAACAUGGACUAAAAGCAAAGAGAAGCCACAGUCCAUCAAAAGGUGAAAAACAAAUCAGUUUGACAUUACUAUUUGCUGUGUUCAGAAACUAAGAUUAUAUACCCACCCUUGGUUUCUAUGAGAUUCUCCUGUUUCCUUCCAAUAAAGUCUUCAUUUUUGCUUAAA